rnacentral:lncRNA from 1 species
CAGAUUGGUUGGGGCCCCUCAGCCCCCUGGGGAAAGAAGGAUAUUGAUGUUUUAAAAAUCUAGAAGCCUUCUGGAGUAUUCUGUAUGAAGAACCCAAAGUGGCUGCAGAAUCAAGUUUUCCUGAUCUUCCAGCUGGCUGGUUGACUCCAUAGAGUGCUCUCAGCUCCAAAUCUGUGCUCAGCUUCAUGCCCUCAGGAGUGGACCAUGCCUACAUGAGGUGUGUAAAGGAGAGUCAGAGUCCUUCUUCACAUGGACCAGAUGUAUCCUUCUCUGACCGCUCGGCCUUCAGAACAGCCAGCUGGAUGACCUCACACCACACUGGCCAUGGCUUCACCCAUGCCCCUCCUCAUGGAUUCUUCACACAGGCCCACAGGUGAGUGGGGUGAGUGACCCACUGUCAUGGCUAUGUCAGUGCCCAAGGUCACACAGCCCUUGACUGGAGGGUCUGGAGCUCACCUUGCCUUUA